rnacentral:rRNA from 1 species
CCUACGGGUGGCAGCAGUGAGGAAUAUUGGUCAAUGGGCGGAAGCCUGAACCAGCCAAGUCGCGUGAGGGAAUAAGGCCCUACGGGUCGUAAACCUCUUUUGCCGGGGAGCAAGGGCGGGGACGUGUCCCGACCCGGAGAGUACCCGGAGAAAAAGCAUCGGCUAACUCCGUGCCAGCAGCCGCGGUAAUACGGAGGAUGCGAGCGUUAUCCGGAUUUAUUGGGUUUAAAGGGAGCGUAGGUGGAUUGUUAAGUCAGUUGUGAAAGUUUGCGGCUCAACCGUAAAAUUGCAGUUGAAACUGGCAGUCUUGAGUACAGUAGAGGUGGGCGGAAUUCGUGGUGUAGCGGUGAAAUGCUUAGAUAUCACGAAGAACUCCGAUUGCGAAGGCAGCUCACUGGACUGCAACUGACACUGAGGCUCGAAAGUGUGGGUAUCAAACAGGAUUAGAUACCCGGGUAGUC